rnacentral:rRNA from 1 species
CCUACGGGAGGCAGCAGUGGGGAAUAUUGGGCAAUGGGCGCAAGCCUGACCCAGCAACGCCGCGUGAAGGAAGAAGGCUUUCGGGUUGUAAACUUCUUUUCUCAGGGACGAAGAAAGUGACGGUACCUGAGGAAUAAGCCACGGCUAACUACGUGCCAGCAGCCGCGGUAAUACGUAGGUGGCAAGCGUUAUCCGGAUUUACUGGGUGUAAAGGGCGUGUAGGCGGGAAAGCAAGUCAGAUGUGAAAACCAUGGGCUCAACCUGUGGCCUGCAUUUGAAACUGUUUUUCUUGAGUACUGGGGAGGCAGAGGGAAUCCCUCGGUGAGGGGGGAAAGGGGUAGAUAGGAGGAGGA